rnacentral:rRNA from 1 species
UACGUAGGGUGCAAGCGUUAUCCGGAAUCACUGGGCGUAAAGCGUCUGUAGGUGGUGAUGCAAGUCACUGGUGCAAAACUCUGGCUCAACCGGAGGAAAGCCAGUGAAACUGCAUGACUAGAGUGUGUGAGAGGUAGAAGGAAUUCCCUGAGUAGCGGUGAAAUGCGUAGAUACAGGGAAGAACACCGGAGGCGAAAGCGUUCUACUGGAACACAACUGACACUGAGAGACGAAAGCUAGGGGAGCGAAUGGG